rnacentral:rRNA from 1 species
AUGCAGAAUAAACAGGGGAAAGAGUCGGCGGAGGAUAUGUUGGCAAGGCUCACCCUGCAGGAGGAGGAGGAGGAUGACUUCAUCUGGGAGGAAGAAUUGCCAGAUAUGAUGGAAUCGGUGAAGUGGCUUGCGAUCGCGCAGGUCCAUACGACAAGGACUUUCAGCCCUAACGCGCUGUACAAUGAGAUGAGGGCGGCCUAGAACCCUGCGAAACAGGUGGUAUGGAGGAGGAUAGAAGCAAACCUGUUCACAGCGCAGUUUGGAUGCUUAAGAGAUUGGAAG